rnacentral:tRNA from 1 species
GGCUUCGUGGUAUAUUGGUAGCACACUCGGUGCGUAUUCGAGAGGUCCAGGUUCGAAUCCCGGUGAGGGCA